ACGUUUUCUCGUGAGGUGCGGGAAUUGUCAAGCGUUAAGGCUGCACGGUUCUAGUUGUUCGGGUGUAACGAAACUAGGUCCGUGACAAGUGGUAUCAGAGCCUCGUCUGUAGGCCGUUACAAUGGCGGAAUCUCGAGAAACUGUUGAUAUUGAGAUUGAGGAGAGGGGUCGAGGUGUUGCCCAAACUGAAGUAAGGAAAACUCAAGGUAAAAGUAAGGUGAGGGAGGCCACCAACAUGAAAGGUAAACUUAACCAAAUCAUCUCAAAUAUGGGUGAUCGGGUCGAAUCUCUUAAAAGCUCCUUCGAGGCGUUGGAGGGACACGCCAUUGGAAAGCUAGAAACUCUACAAAUUAAUGUCCAAGAGGUGAUGGACACACAAUCAUCGUUGGAAAAUGAUGUCCAAACGAUGAUAGAUGAUGUUCGAGCUGUGGUAGCCGGACAAGCCGCGGUUACGGAUGAUUUUGGUCGUCUCCAAACCAAAGUCUUGGAUGCCGUUUCCGCCAUGCAUGGCCAAGUUAACCAAUUGGCUGUGAUGAUGGAAAGAAUGAGCAAAGAGCUUGAGCAAUACAAGCACUCCACUGCCGGUACAAGCGGAGGUGCCGCUUCAACUAUUGUUGCCCCGAGGAUUGAAUACCCGAAGCCUAAAAAUUAUGAUGGGCGACGGGAUGCCAAAGAUGUGAAAAACUUCUUAUGGCAAAUGGAAGUUUACUUUGAAGGCGUAAAUCUUGUUGAUGAAGCCAUGAAAGUCCGGACCGCUUCUAUAUAUCUUACCGACACCGCAUCUCUUUGGUGGCGUCGUAAGCAUGCCGAUGUUGAACAUGGAGCUAGAAGAAUUGAUACUUGGGACGAGUUCAAAAGGGAGCUAAAAAGGCAAUUUUACCUGGAUAACGUUGUGUACGAGGCCCGCAAGAAACUAAGGGAAUUGAAACAAAAAGGGAGUCAAAAAUGGAUGGAUGUACAACAUGGGUGCGAUAAGAAUUACAACGUCGCGGAGUCAAAAAUGUAGAUGAGGCAAUUGCGGUUGCCGAAUCUUUGACGGAGUUCCAAAGGAGUACGGAGUCGCAAACAAUGACUUUCAAACCAACAAAAGGGAAUUUUGGCAGAGGCGGAGGUGAUAUGCGAAAAGAUAAGCAACAGGGUAAGCCAAAUUGGAGGCCAAAUCCCAAAGUUGGUUACAAACCUGGUGGCAACAACCCAACUACUUGGCGGAAGGAGUAUGAUGAUAAAAAGGGGUAAUUUUGCUCCUCGUAGUUACUUCAUUUGCAAAGGGCCACAUCUCAUGCGGGAUUGCUCUAAACUUGGAUCCUUGACAUCUAUUACGGAGACUCAACCAGAGGCUUUCCAUGACAAGGAAGAAGGUGCAAGUCACAUGGGUUCAUUGCAACUUUUCAAUGCUUUGAAUGUCAAAACUAUUCCGAGGGCGAACGGAGAAAAAGGAUUGAUGUUCGUACUUGCCGAAAUCAAUGGACGGUAAACAUGGGCAUUAGUUGAUACCAGAGCCACACAUAAUUUCAUCACGGAGGCUUGGAUUGAAUAUUCACCAUGGAGGUGGAUUGAUGAAGACAGUAAAUGCAAUCGCAAGGCCAUUAGCGGGCGUAGUUCGAGGAGCGAAACUACGGUUGGGUUCGUGGCAUGGACCCGUUGAUAUAUCUGUGGCCCCGAUGGAUGAUUUCAAGCUAGUAUUGGGUUUGGAUUUCUUAAGGAAGGUUAAUGCUAUUCAUAUGCCUUCCUUUGGUUCGAUGUGCAUCUUGGAGAAGAGAUCAUCAUGCAUGGUUCCUACCGUUUCCAUGGGGACGGAAGCGUGACAUCUUUCGGCUAUACAAUUAGCGAAAGGAUGGAAGAAGGGUGAGCUGACAUUCAUUGCUCAAUUGUCGGUUGCAAUCGAAGUCACCACAAAUAAUGAUGACUUAUCGAAUGUUAUUGCAAAGGUCCUUGAGGAAAAUAAGGACGUGAUGCCCAAAGAGUUGCCAAAGAAACUUCCGCCUAGGAGGGAAGUAGACCAUCGCAUUGAGUUGGAGCCUGGUGCCAAACCCCCGGCCAUGACACCUUAUCGCAUGGCACCUCCGGAGUUAGAGGAACUUCGAAAACAACUUACGGAGCUUGUGGAGACGGGAAGGAUUAAACCAUCCAAAGCUCCCUAUGGCGCCCCAGUGUUAUUCCAAAAGAAGUCAGACGGGACAUUAAGGAGGUGCGUUGAUUACCGGGCACUAAACAAGGUGACGGUGAAAAACAAAUAUACUAUCCCAUUGAUUGCGGACUUAUUUGAUCGGCUUGGUAGCGCUAAGUUCUACACCAAGGUUGAUUUGCAAAAAGGCUACUAUCAAGUUCGGAUUGUGGAAGGAGAUGAGCCUAAAACUACUUGCAUUACUCGGUAUGGUUCCUAUGAAUGGCUUGUCAUGCCGUUCGGUUUGACAAAUGCGCCGGCCACCUUUUGCACCUUGAUGAACAAGAUAUUUUAUCCAUACUUGGAUAAGUUCGUGGUGGUUUAACUUGAUGAUAUUGUCAUCUAUAGCAACACGUUGGAGGAACAUGUUGAGCACUUGAAAAUAAUCUUCCAAGUGUUGCGGGAAAAUGAAUUAUACAUCAAGAAGGAGAAAUGUUCAUUUGCCAAAGAAGAGGUGCAUUUCUUGGGACAUAUCAUCGGGCAUGGUCACUUAAAAAUGGAUGGAGCCAAAGUAAAAGCAAUCAAUGAAUGGGAGCCACCUACUAAGGUGACGGAGUUGCGGUCUUUCCUUGAAUUGGUAAAUUACUACCGACGUUUCAUUAAAGGCUACUUAUCUAGAGCAGCCCCUUUGACGGAUUUGCUUAAGAAGUCUCAAGGAUGGGAGUGGACCGUGAAAUGUCAAAGAGCCUUUAACGAUUUAAGGGCGGCGGUCAUGUCAGAGCCGGUGUUGGCCUUAUCGGAUUUCAACAAAAGUUUUGAGGUUCAAACUGAUGCAUCAGAUUUUGCUAUUGGAGGUGUGCUCAUGCAAGAAGGUCAUCCUAUUGCCUUCGAGAGCCGCAAGUUGAAUGAUACGGAGCGGCGUUACACGGUGCAAGAAAAAGAAAUGACAGCCAUUGUGCAUUGUCUACGGGUAUGGCGUCAUUAUCUUUUGGGUUCCUGUUUUGUGAUCAAGACGGACAACGUGGCUACAAGUUACUUCCAAUCACAAAAGAAGUUGAGCCCAAAGCAAGUUAGAUAGCAAGAUUUUUUAGCGGAGUUUGAUUAUGUGAUGGAAUACAAACCCGGGAAGGUGAAUGUAGUGGCGGAUGCACUUAGCCGGAAGGCGGAACUUGCGGCAAUUAGUCAAGCUAUGGGUACCUUGUUAGAGGAAAUUAAACAAGGAUUGGAGCAUGACCCCAUGGCGAAAACAUUGAUGCAAGCCACUCGAGAAGGAAAAACAAGGCGAUUUUGGAUUGACAACGGGUUGCUAUACACCACUGGGCAACGGGUAUUUGUGCUUAAGUGGAGAAAUUUGCGGCGUGACGUAAUUCGGGAAUGUCAUGACACCAAGUGGGCUGGACAUCCCAGGAUAGAUCAGACAUUAGCUUUGAUUGAACGAGCAUAUUAUUGGCCGCAAAUGAAGGAUCAAGUUGAGACAUAUGUCCGGACAUGUCUUGUGUGCCAACGAGACAAAGUGGAGAAUAAAUUACCGGCGGGACUUCUUGAUCCUCUUCCCGUUCCGGAUCAACCAUAGGACAUGGUCACCAUGGAUUUCAUUAGUGCCUUGCCAAAGUCCGAAGGGUUCGAAUCAAUAAUUGUUGUUGUUGAUCGAUUUUCUAAGUAUGCUACUUUCAUUCCAGCCCCUAAGGAUUGCACUGCGGAGGAGACGGCAAGGUUAUUUUUUAAAAAUGCUGUGAAGUAUUGGGGGUUGCCGAAGCAUAUUGUAAGUGAUCGGGAUCCCCGCUUCACGGGGAAAUUGUGGACAGAGUUGUUUAAACUCCUUGGAUCGGAUUUGUACUUUUCAAGUAGUUUUCACCCGCAGACGGAUGGACAAACGGAACGGGUGAAUGCAUAGUUGGAGUGUUAUCUUCGACACUUUGUUAGUGCUAAUCAACGGGAUUGGGCGAAGUUGAUGGACAUAGCCCAAUUUUCCUACAACUUGUAGAAAAGUGAAUUCACUGGACAUAGUCCAUUUGAGCUUGCAACAGGGCGACAACCUACAACACCCCACACAUUAUCUAUGGUUAGUGAUUCUAACCGAAGUCCUGGAGCAAUCAAAAUGGCUAAGUCAUGGGGAGAUCAUGUGGACUUAGCAAGAUCUUGCUUGGAGAAAGCCCGGAAGCGAAUGAAGAAAUGGGCCGAUGUGAGACGAAGACCAUUGGAGAUCAAGUACUUGUGAAAGUGUUGCCUCAACAAUUCAAAGCCUACUACAAAGUUCACAAGGGCUUGGUUAGAAAAUAUGAAGGUUCGUUCCCCAUCCUAGCGAAAGUUGGAAGAGUUUCCUACCGGCUAGAUCUUCCAAGCACUUUAAAGAUCCACCCGAUUUUUCAUAUAAGCAUGUUGAAACCAUAUAGGCCGGACUUGGAGGAUCCAGGGAGAAACAAAUCAAAGAGAGCGCCUCCCAUCGUCACAAAAUCUUUUGAGAAAGAUGUUGAAUCCAUUUUGACGGAUCGAGUUGUGAGACGGAGAGGUGUUCCCCCUUGCACUCAAUACUUAAUCAAAUGAAAGGGAUUGCCCGAGUCCGAAGCUACUUGGGAAAAUGAGGGAAACCUAUAGCAAUUUGAGUCCGAGCUUCAGAACUACAUGGCGAUGAGGGCGUCGCCAAAUUCGGUGGGAGAGUGACUUACGCCCUACGCGGUCGCGUUCGAUCCGUCCCGGUAGCGGCCGCAAAACAGCGUGGACAGUACGCUGCAGCAGGACGGAACAUAUUGUUUUGGGCAAAAUGCAGGUUGCCUAAAAUUGUGCAAUUUUUCAGGGCGUUAUGAGGUUUUUAUAAGUCCCGACCCAGCCAUUUUGGGAGGAAAAAUACAUGAACCUGCAACGGGAUAUUUUGGUAUACAAGUAGGCAACUUGCACAACUUGUCCACUUGUGCCACUUGCAAGAUAUUAUCAAAGAUAAAAACUAAGCGCGAGUUGGCGAAAAUAUUAUCAAAGGUGCAAGCUAAGCACGAGUUGGCAAGAAUAAUAUCUACUAUGCAAGCUAAGAUCGAGUUGGCGACAACUUGCAAAGAAAGUUGUAAGCUUAUCCACUUGACGAUAACUAAGCAUGAGUUGUAAACAACUAGCACGAGUUGUGACCAACUAAGCAUAGGUUGUAAAGUAAUACAACUUGAUCUUAAGGAGGUUUAAGUUUUGCCUAUAAAUAUAGAUGGAAGUCUCAUUUGUAAAUCAUGUAAAAUUGAGUGAGUUUAUUCAUUAGAGAGAUUGUAAAGUUUUCCCUUUCAUAUAUACAAAGAAAGUUUCCCAACCUUACUUGUUUUCCAUAUAUCCCUUACUUCAAAAUUCUCUUCUCAACGUGGGUAUAAUUUAGCUUCCUUGGUUAAAUUAUUUGUGAGCGUGGAAAGACUGACUUAACGUUUUCUCGUGAGGUGCGGGAAUUGUCAAGCGUUAAGGCCGCACGGUUCUAGUUGUUCGGAUGUAACGAAACUAGGUCCGUGACAUGCAGAUCACUUGUGGCUCUUAUUACAACCGUCAUAACUAAAGAUCUUCCAGAUGUAGGCGGUGAUCGCAAGUAAGUUUUAAAACCAAAACUUUGCAUGAAUUGCUCUAUUUUAUUUUACCCACAAAAGGUUUUUAUUACUAACAUUUUAUUAUUGCCAUUUCUUUUCAUUUUCACUUGUGCUUUUUGAAUUUUGAGUCAUAGAAAGAAGCCAUAUCUUUUCAUGAAGUGCAAUCCUAUCUUACAUUCCUUAGGUGAUGAGCAUUCUCUCACGAUCUAACAUAAUUAACCUACUUUCCAUUGAUAUGUCCUUAUCUACAUUGGUUCAAUACUGGUUGUGAUUUACAUGCCUCGGGUGAUGUGCAUUCUUUCAGGAUCUAACUUAUCCUACUUUCCUUUGAUAUGUCCUUAUCUACUUCACAUGAUAUAGCACUCAUUUAUGAAACAUAUUACAGGCGCUCAAGAGAAGCUCGAUGAUACUUGCACAUCUCAUCUUGGCAGCGAGUUUAACUUUCACAGUAAAUUUAUUUUAUUAUUUCUAGUUGGAUUGUGAUUAAUGCAUUUUUAUUCGAACAAAACUCAAUUGUCUUUAUUUUCUCUUCUCGUUACGAAAAUAAUUACAAUUUUCUGCCCCGUUUUGUCUUAAUCUACUUGAAUUUAUCAAGAAUAAAAA
rnacentral:lncRNA from 1 species